CAAUAGCUACUUGCAUCAUAGUAGAUAUGAUGCAAGAUCGACUAUGUUGAAUAAAAUUCUAGGUAGAAUUAUGAUAAUGACAUUGUCUGCCUAUGUGUCUUGACCAAAUUACGUGCCAGCAGUCGCGGUAAUACGUAGAAGACUAGUGUUAUUCAUGUUUAAUCGGUUUAAAGGGUACCUAGACGGUAGAUCAAGCUUUCUAAUAAAGGAAAAGGACUAAUUUACUAGAGUUACUUAUGAGGGGGUAUUAAAGUACUGCUGGUGUAGAGAUGAAAUUCUGUCAUACCUCUUUUCAAAAGAAAAACCAUGGCACAGGUAUAGGCGAAGGCAUCCCCUUAUGUGAUAACUGACGUUGAGGGACGAAGGCUUUGUGUAGCGAACAGGAUUAGAUACCCCAGUAGUCGAAGCAGAAAAUGAUGAAUGUCAUAGAUUAGAUAUAUAAGUUUAUUCUAUAAAUGAAAGUGUAAGCAUUCCACCUCAUGAGUAAUUUGGCAACAUUGGAACUGAAAUCAUUAGACCGUUUCUGAAACCAGUAGUGAAGUAUGUUGUUUAAUUUGAUGAUCCGCAAAAAACCUUACCACAAUUUGAAUAUUUAUAUUGUUUAUUGUUUUAUUAUUAAUUUUCUUGAACGUAAAAGAAAAGAGAGAUGUAGGAUAAUAGUAAGAAAAUUAAUAAAGAAGCAAUAAGAUAUAU
rnacentral:rRNA from 1 species